GAUGAACGCUGGCGGCGUGCCUAAUACAUGCAAGUAGAACGCUGAAGCUUGGUGCUUGCACCGAGCGGAUGAGUUGCGAACGGGUGAGUAACGCGUAGGUAACCUGCCUCUUAGCGGGGGAUAACUAUUGGAAACGAUAGCUAAUACCGCAUAAAAGUCGACAUCGCAUGAUGUUGACUUGAAAGGUGCAAAUGCAUCACUAAGAGAUGGACCUGCGUUGUAUUAGCUAGUUGGUGAGGUAACGGCUCACCAAGGCGACGAUACAUAGCCGACCUGAGAGGGUGAUCGGCCACACUGGGACUGAGACACGGCCCAGACUCCUACGGGAGGCAGCAGUAGGGAAUCUUCGGCAAUGGGGGCAACCCUGACCGAGCAACGCCGCGUGAGUGAAGAAGGUUUUCGGAUUGUAAAGCUCUGUUGUAAGAGAAGAACGAGUGUGAGAGUGGAAAGUUCACACUGUGACG
rnacentral:rRNA from 1 species